rnacentral:lncRNA from 1 species
CUUGAGUUCAUGGUGGUUAAUAGGAUAAAAUAUUUUUUAAUUCUAAAUAUUAACAGAAGUAUAUGCAUUCACAUGACUUGAUAAAUAAUUAUUUAAAUUAUAUUAUUAAAUUAUAUAGGCAUUCGUAUACAUCAAAAUGGGAACAACCAUUUGUCAAAUGCUUUUUAAACUAAUCAAACAGACGAGAUAUGCUAAAAAAAAAAA